UAUUUAAUCAGCAUUUAUUUGUGCUUUUCUUAAUAAUUAUGCAUUAAAGAAGUCAGCGUCGUUGAUUAUAAAUUAAUGAAGAGUCGUUUUAUUAGUUAAGUCUUAAGUUUGUAUAAUUAAUAACCAUGUGUGAUUCAUAACCUCGCACGACUGCAUAGAAUAAUGCAGUGUGCAGUCUUCUUCCGAUCUCCGGUUAUAAUAAAUAGAUUAAAGAAUGAUAAAUCCUAAUCACUUCCGAUUUCAAAAUACCAUCGAUAAGUUUUUUGGUGUUUACUUUUAUCACCUUUGAGCAACGGCACCGACUGAUAAGAUUAUUUGGUUAGGUUGCCACGCGGGCUGAGCCUUGUAGAAAAGCAAAUAAUCAUACUGCCGAAAUCAAUACUUGUCCUUAUCUGCUACUUUAAGUACGUAUUAAUCUAGAUAAAAUGAUGACAAUAACACGAGCCGAAAAGUGUUAAUAUGAUUAACACGUGAUAUUAAAUGAUAGGGCUGAUAUCUACGCUGGUCAUUACAAUGAACCCUUAUCUUUAGUCAUCUGCUUAUAAUCUAUUAUCUUCCAUCUUUACAGAUGUUACCAGAAUCCUGUCAUGGCAGAAAAGGAAAAACAGGUAUGUAGGAGCUAGGGGCAGGCAGGAAAGGGCCAUUUAACAUGAGACAAUUAGUAAGAAUUUUAAUUAAGUAGGUGUUUUGAAUAUUCGAUGAUUCUUCUUCGGUCUUCACACAUUUUUUGCUUGUAUCCCAAAAUUCUUGCUAAUUCUUUUCAUGAAAAUUGUGUUUGUUAAAAGUGAAAAUAGUAUUUUGAUGUAAAUAAAGAUUUUUACAUAU